GCAGACCUUCAAACUUCCGACCAUCUCCAUAAAAUAGUCCUGAGCCUUGAAGCUGCUUUUUCUUCCUUGGAGUUAAGGGUACACUGCUCCUCUUUGAUAGCUCUGAGUCAGGAGCUUCAAACUUCCGGCCAUUUCCAUAAACAGGUACUUUUUCAAACAUUUGAUUCUUCUUCACCAAAGAAAUCCCAUCCAAGUCGGCAGUGGCUGAUACUGCUUCUUUUUGAUUACGCAACAUUCUUGAGGACCUAGAAAGGAAUGCGUUAUGCUCGUCAUACUCAUUGCUCCUGGGAGAAGUUUUGGCACUCAAAUCCUCUUCUAUCUCCGCAACAUGGGGAAUCUUCUCACGCAUACGAGAGAAUUGCGUUGAACGUUGUGAUGAUGAGUCUCUGGCUUGCAUUUCUGCCUUCAAUCGUUGUAUUUCAGCACAUGCAAAACUCUGAUAAUCUUCCGCCUCAGCUUCCACCUCUUUGUCUCUGUCAGAAGACUUUUUCUGCUCCUGCAGUUUCCUCAAACUGCAAUCCUCGUCUGUCUUUGACACGCGCUUCCAUCUUUGCAGCGGCCGAGAGUAUGGAACCCCUGCGUCUUCUCUGCUCUCCCGCAAUGUAGGCUUGGCAGUCCCAGGCGCCUGCGGAUUAUAGCGGAUUGGCCCCGUAGCUCCACGAAUCGUACAAAAGGCUCGCACUCCUACCGCUCU
rnacentral:lncRNA from 1 species